rnacentral:rRNA from 1 species
AAAAUGGAGAGUUUGAUCCUGGCUCAGGAUGAACGCUGGCGGCGUGCUUAACACAUGCAAGUCGAACGAGCUUUUUCGGAAGUUAGUGGCGGACGGGUGAGUAACGCGUGAGGAUCUGCCUACAGGAUGGGGACAACAUUAGGAAACUGAUGCUAACACCCAAUGUGCCGAGAGGUGAAAUAUUAAUAGCCUGUAGAUGAGCUCGCGUCUGAUUAGCUAGUUGGUGGGGUAAGAGCUUACCAAGGCGACGAUCAGUAGCUGGUCUGAGAGGACGAUCAGCCACACUGGGACUGAGACACGGCCCAGACUCCUACGGGAGGCAGCAGUGGGGAAUUUUCCGCAAUGGGCGCAAGCCUGACGGAGCAACGCCGCGUGAGGGAGGAAGGCCUGUGGGUUGUAAACCUCUUUUCUCAAGGAAGAAUUUUUGACGGUACUUGAGGAAUCAGCAUCGGCUAACUCCGUGCCAGCAGCCGCGGUAAGACGGAGGAUGCAAGCGUUAUCCGGAAUUAUUGGGCGUAAAGCGUCCGUAGGCGGUUGUAAAAGUCCGUUGUUAAAGCCCACAGCUCAACUGUGGAUGGGCAAUGGAAACUAUAUAACUAGAGAGUGGUAGGGGUAGAGGGAAUUCCUAGUGUAGCGGUGAAAUGCGUAGAUAUUAGGAAGAACACCAGUGGCGAAGGCGCUCUACUGGGCCAUUACUGACGCUGAUGGACGAAAGCUAGGGGAGCGAAAGGGAUUAGAUACCCCUGUAGUCCUAGCUGUAAACGAUGGACACUAGGUGUUGCGCGUAUCGACCCGUGCAGUAUCGAAGCAAACGCGUUAAGUGUCCCGCCUGGGGAGUACGCACGCAAGUGUGAAACUCAAAGGAAUUGACGGGGGCCCGCACAAGCGGUGGAGUAUGUGGUUUAAUUCGAUGCAACGCGAAGAACCUUACCAGGGAUUGACAUCCUCGGAAUCCUUUUGAAAGAGAGGAGUGCCUUCGGGAGCCGAGAGACAGGUGGUGCAUGGCUGUCGUCAGCUCGUGUCGUGAGAUGUUGGGUUAAGUCCCGCAACGAGCGCAACCCUCGUCCUUAGUUGCCAUCAUUAAGUUGGGCACUUUAAGGAGACUGCCGGUGACAAACCGGAGGAAGGUGGGGAUGACGUCAAGUCAUCAUGCCCCUUACAUCCUGGGCUACACACGUACUACAAUGCGACGGACAAAGGGCAGCCAACUAGCGAUAGUGAGCUAAUCCCAUAAACCGUUGCUCAGUUCAGAUUGCAGGCUGCAACUCGCCUGCAUGAAGGCGGAAUCGCUAGUAAUCGCAGGUCAGCAUACUGCGGUGAAUACGUUCCCGGGCCUUGUACACACCGCCCGUCACACCAUGGAAGUUGGCCACGCCCGAAGUCGUUACCCCAACCGUUUUGCGGAGGGGGACGCCGAAGGCAGGGCUGAUGACUGGGGUGAAGUCGUAACAAGGUAGCCGUACCGGAAGGUGUGGCUGGAUCACCUCCUUA